rnacentral:lncRNA from 1 species
CCGAAACCGGCGAGGACGGGGGGCGUCCGCCCCCAGGGCGCGAACCUCCCCGACGCCGCGGGAGCCAACCCAAGCCCGGAACGGCCCUUCAGGGGCGCCGUCCGGGCGGACAAAGGCGGCGCACAGCCGGGGAAUUUUCUCCAGCUAAUUUUACAGAUGAGAAAACUGAGGCAAACGGAACUUAAGUGACUAAACCAGAGUCAAAGAGAUUAAUUAUCUGGAUCCAGUGGCCAGAUAGAGAGAAAGAUGAAUGGGGAUGGCCCUAAGUGCAGUGGAAGACUUUGAUCUUUUUUAAGAAGCAACUAUGAGCAUGAAAACCAAAUGGGGCAGUUAAGUGGCAGAGUAAAUAGAGUACUUGCCUUGGAGUCAGGAGGACCGGACUUCAAAAGGGGUCUCAGAUACUUACUAGCUGUAUGACCUUGGGCAUUGUACUAAGAGCUAAUUAUAUGAAGACAAAAGACAAGAUCUACCCUCAAGAAACCCCCAGUCUAAUGAAUGAGAAGACAUGCAAAUGGCUAUGUAUAACAAGUAACAUCCAUGAUUAACUGGCUAUGCUACUGAUUUCUCCAGAAAGCUUUUUAUCCUGAAAGAUCAUUGCAGCCCUGGAAGUCAUAUCUCAGAAAUAUCCUUAGUCCCUGUGGUCCCUCCCCAUGUUAUGCCACAGUUUCCUUUAAUUGCCCUGCCCUGCCUCGAUUUCCCUGAACUGUUCUGCUUCAGUUUCCCUAAAUUGUUCUACUUCAGUUUCCCUGAAUUGUUCUACCUCAGGUCCCCUGGUUGCAACCCUCCUUCCUGACUAUUAGGACUGAUAUAAGUUAGGGCCAGCUACUCUAGGAUCAUAAACUGUAAAUAUUUAAUCUCAGAUAAAGGGGAGAUCUUCUAUUUCAGAUAUCCUGGCUCCUAAAUCCUCCUAAAUUAUCAAGAAUUUAUGGUCCUUACUCCCAAUCUGUCAGAACCGAAUUUAUGGUCUGUUCCUGGAAAUUCCCGUUCACCAGUGCUCCAUCCACCCUUGCCUUUGUUUCUCUGAUAGCUGGAGUCUUACAAAAAUCGCUGGAAUUCUUCAUUCACUACUGGAUUUUUUGAGAUGUGAGUCUAAUCCGAUCAAUUAAUCUAAGUUCUCCAAUAAAAUAUUAAAACUCUC